UCAGGCCUAACACAUGCAAGUCGAGCGAUGAAACUUCCUUCGGGAAGUGGAUUAGCGGCGGACGGGUGAGUAACACGUGAGCAACCUGCCUCAAAGAGGGGGAUAGCCUUCCGAAAGGAAGAUUAAUACCGCAUAAUAUCAGAGUUUCGCAUGAUUUUCUGAUUAAAGGAGAAAUCCACUUUGAGAUGGGCUCGCGGCGCAUUAGCUAGUUGGUGAGGUAACGGCUCACCAAGGCGACGAUGCGUAGCCGACCUGAGAGGGUGAUCGGCCACAUUGGGACUGAGACACGGCCCAGACUCCUACGGGAGGCAGCAGUGGGGAAUAUUGCGCAAUGGACGAAAGUCUGACGCAGCAACGCCGCGUGGGUGAUGAAGGUCUUCGGAUUGUAAAGCCCUGUCUUCGAGGACGAUAAUGACGGUACUCGAGGAGGAAGCCACGGCUAACUACGUGCCAGCAGCCGCGGUAAUACGUAGGUGGCAAGCGUUGUCCGGAUUUACUGGGCGUAAAGAGUGUGUAGGCGGAUAAUUAAGUCAGAUGUGAAAGCCCAAGGCUCAACCUUGGAGGUGCAUUUGAUACUGGUUAUCUAGAGUGCGGGAGAGGAGAGUGGAAUUCCUAGUGUAGCGGUGAAAUGCGUAGAGAUUAGGAAGAACACCAGUGGCGAAGGCGACUCUCUGGACCGUAACUGACGCUGAGACACGAA
rnacentral:rRNA from 1 species